rnacentral:lncRNA from 1 species
AUCUUUCAGACCUUUAAUCUCUGUAUAUAGAGAUAUAGAAAUAGAGAAUAUUCUUUAAAUAUCUGAACAUUUAAGUAUUACUCAUCCCAAUACAAUAUAUACUUAUACAAAUAGAUAUAUGUAUGUAUACUAUACAUAAAGAUCUGAGGUACUAAAUAUUCCAUGGUUUUUUUUCAUUCAACAAUGUAUUAUGAAUGCCUUUCAAUAGCCAUACUUUAAUAGUUGCAUAGUAUCACGUUGCAUAAACAUAUUAGGUCAGUGCAUAAGUAAUUGCACUUUUUACCAUUUUAAUGGCAAAUGAGGCACUGAUUAAUCAGUGCCUUAUUUUUCACAACUACAAAAAUAUUGCUGUGAGAUCCUUGAAAAUGUAUAAUUGCCCAUUUGCAUGUUUCUUUAAAUUUAUAGAUAAGGAAUUACUGGGGCAAAAAGUGUGCACAAUUUAAAUUUGAUGUUUUUGUUUUUGCCAAGCUGCUUUUUAAGAAGGUUGUACUAAUGCACACUUUUAUCUUGACACUAAGAUUUUAAAUAUGAUCAGAAAAUGGGUUUCUGAUAGUAAAACUGUCUACUUGUAAUAAUUGUGGCAUUAGAAAAGACCUUUGUGGCUUCGUUCCUCAAACUCAUUUACGAAUUAUAAAUCUGAAUUCCAAAUAUGAAUUAACUCACACAAGAUAAAGCUUUAACAGUUAGUAGCAGUACUGUAACUAGAGUGCAUGUUUUCUGUCUCCAGAAAUAACAUUCUUUUUAUGCCACAUUUUUUUAACUGAGGUGAUCAUUCUCCACCCUCUUCUUUCCAUGUUUUUCCAUGUUUGUUCAAACUUUUCAUUAAAUAUCUUGAGGCUCUAACUAAAUUAAGGGUGGCCAUUAAAAUUGUAUGUGGGAUUCCCUGAACCAACUGGUAAUGCACUACCAGCAUAUAAGGUGUCCUCAUUAAAGCAGUUGGUGAUUGGUACAUGGGACCUCACUCAUGUAUGUUUGCAUCUACUUGUGAGUCAAAAAGUUUUCUUAAAGUAUAGGUGGGAUCAUGAAAGACAUACAAUUCACUGGAGAUCUUGUCAUUUAAGUUUCAGCAAUUGAGUACCACACUAGAACACCCACAAAUGAGAUUCUGUUACAGAGUAUCUUUUUUCUACUACAGAACAUACUGUAGACAGUUAUUCAGUGGUUAACUUGUGGAAAUAAUCAGAAGAUGCUUUUCACUUUUAUGACUGGAUAUAUUUUAAUAUUUAUCAUAUUAAGAGAAACUUAGGUUACUUACAGCUCAUAAACGUUGCUAUGAACAUCAUUCAUUUAUUCACUUAUUUAUUUUUAUGGUGUUCCUAGAAAGAAUUUCCUGGACUAAAGGAUUUAUGCUUUAAAAAUAUUGGUAGUUACUGCCAAGAAUUGCCAUCCAGAAACAGUGUAGCCAUUCAUAAACUCAACAACAAGGUAUGAGAGUGCCUGUUUCCUCAUAUCCUUUGUGACACCGGAUUUUAUCAAGCUUAAAGUUUUUUCAUUCUAGGUGGGUGAAAAUGGUAUUCCGUUAUUGAUAAUGUGUGGAAAUCAAGUUCUAAUAAGUUUGGGGGGAGGUUAAUUCUUUAUAUGUGCUGUAUGAAUUAAUGCCAACUGUAUGCCUUUGAGAGUGAAAUCAGAAUAAUGUCUCUCCACUAAAGCAGGACUUAGAGCACUAGUUUUCCAAAUGUUGUCUACAGAUGGAAACACUAGCAUCACCUGGGUACUCGUUAGAAAGUGCAGAUUCUCUGGCGGUACCUUAGACCUCCUGAAUUAGAAACUCUGGGGGUAGGGUUAGACAUUUGUGUUUUAAACAAGCCCUCCAAGUGGUUUCAAUGCACAUUCAAAGUUGAGAACCAAUCACUGAUAGAGAAAAAGCAGCUUGGGUAGAAACAGUUGAUUAUUUGCAAAUUUAUAUUUUAAAAAGAUAGGAUUCUUAACAGUAAGCUCUUUAUAAUUCAACAAUGUGAUCUUUACUCCUACCCCCGAAAAACUAAUAUGAUUUUAGUGUGUGGUAGC